rnacentral:snRNA from 1 species
GUGGUGCAGCACAUAUACUAAAAUUGGAAUGAUGAGAGGAUUAGCAUGGCCUUUUCACAGGGAUGACACACACACUCAUGAAGUUUCCAUAAUUUUG